rnacentral:lncRNA from 1 species
AGAAAAGAUACUCUACCUAGAGAUUCUACAAUUCUUGCAACGACAUUGGCAUUUGCAUUAUGCGAGCGUGCAUUUGGAUGGAGGGAUUUGGGGAAGAGAUUUCAAAUCCAUAAUAACAAAUCUCUCGGACUUGUUUGGAUUGAGGGAUUUGGAGAUGGAUUUCAAACCUCCACCCCUCCUUUUUAGUUGAUUUUGGAGCAAUAGUGAUGGAUUUCAAAUGACUCCAAAAUUGGAGUCAUUUCAAAUCCAUUCCCCAAAUCAAAUCCCUCCAUCCAAAUGAACCCUGAGAGAAAUUAAGGGCCUUGGUGCAUAAGAGAAGAUAUUCCACCAAGCCAUAAUCACCUUCUGACCUAAUAUUCUUGUUACCAUAUCCAAACGGGUCACGAUAUAUAAGCCGAUUUCUUGUUUGGGUUAAUUGAAAAAUUUAACCGCUUCAGAUUCAAUUUCGGUCAACAACUCAGUGAAAACAUCCGAUAUUGUUGUGAACAAUUAUGUAGCAGCAGUGAAAAACAUGGCAUGCGGAAAUCUUGAAAUGAUAACUGAGGAAUUGAAGCUUAAGGAGAGGGAUACUUUAUGUAGGUUAAAUGUGGAAAUAAUCCAAGUUGAACAAUUAUCUUCCAUGUUUGAAUCUUGAAGCAUUUAGUAAAGGUUAAGUACAAGUUUUGGGGUUGAACCAUACCAUUUAAGGUGUCGGGUCACAUUUAAACCAGUUGGACCAACCGAUUAAGUCCGAUUCUAAUAAUCAUAGUUAUAAGUAAAAUUAAAAUAAAAUAAAAUUGUGCGCUUGUAAGUUUUCUGAUGUUGAUAGAUUUUGUAGUAAUUUGAUCUAAUAAUGAAAUGUUUUUCAUAUAAUUUAUUUUAAUUCAUAUCAUCAAGUUUAUCGUGAUUUCUCAUGCAAAGAACUUAGAGGAAUACCUGUAGUAAGAUAACUAGUAGAUAUGUCAUUAGUGUUUAGGAUGGAUAUUGUUAAGAAAAUUCCUAGCUUCUCCGAUUCCUAUUCAAAAUUUUUGAUUUUGGAACAAUAAUUUUCAUUACGAAUUCCGAAGUUUUUUAUUGGCAA